rnacentral:rRNA from 1 species
GACGAACGCUGGCGGCGUGCUUAACACAUGCAAGUCGAACGGAAAGGCCCCUUUGGGGGUGCUCGAGUGGCGAACGGGUGAGUAACACGUGAGUAACCUGCCCUUGACUUCGGGAUAACUUCAGGAAACUGGGGCUAAUACCGGAUAGGAAUCCUUGCUGCAUGGUGGGGGUUGGAAAGCUUCGGCGGUUUUGGAUGGACUCGCGGCUUAUCAGCUUGUUGGUGGGGGAGUGGCUUACCAAGGCUUUGACGGGUAGCCGGCCUGAGAGGGCGACCGGCCACAUUGGGACUGAGAUACGGCCCAGACUCCUACGGGAGGCAGCAGUGGGGAAUAUUGCACAAUGGGCGGAAGCCUGAUGCAGCAACGCCGCGUGCGGGAUGACGGCCUUCGGGUUGUAAACCGCUUUCAGCAGGGGCGAAGCUUGUGGUGACGGUACCUGCAGAAGAAGCACCGGCUAACUACGUG